rnacentral:rRNA from 1 species
CCUACGGGGGGCUGCAGUGGGGAAUAUUGGACAAUGGGCGAAAGCCUGAUCCAGCCACGCCGCGUGUGUGAUGAAGGCCUUCGGGUCGUAAAGCACUGUGGGGAGGGAAGAACGAGCAGUGGGCUAAUAUCCCAUUGCAGUGACGGUACCUCCUUAGCAAGCACCGGCUAACUCCGUGCCAGCAGCCGCGGUAAUACGGAGGGUGCAAACGUUGCUAGAAAUCGUGUAGCGGGUCGCCCGUGUAGGGGGUGAAAGCCCUGGGCUUAACCUAGGAAGUGCGCUCGAAACUGGCAGGCUUGAGUACGGGAGAGGGUCGCGGAAUUCCCGGUGUAGAGGUGAAAUUCGUAGAUAUCGGGAGGAACACCAGUGGCGAAGGCGGCGACCUGGACCGAUACUGACGCUGAGACGCGAAAGCGUGGGUAGCAAACAGGAUUAGAUACCCUAGUAGUC